rnacentral:rRNA from 1 species
GGCCUUGAGGUUAAGCCUAACCAGUCCGUCAAGGUUUCACCUGAUGAUGACCACUUCCUCCAUCUCUCCCAGGGUGCCCUUGGCGAAGUCAAGAAGGAUGACAAGGCAACCAUGUUCGUCAAGAUCGGCGACCAGAAGCUGGCCAUCGGGACCCUCUCUACCGACAAGUUCCCUCAGAUCCAGUUUGACCUCGUCUUCGAGAAGGAGUUUGAGCUGUCACACAAUUCCAAGACAUCCAGCGUCUUCUUCUCUGGCUACAAGGUUUUCCAGCCUGCCGAGGGAGAUGAGAUGGAUUUUGAUUCUGAGGAUGACUCUGAGGAGGAGGAAGAGAAGAUCAUUCCAGCACUCACCAAGGAAAAUGGCAAACCUGAAGCCAAGGAGCAGAAGAAGCAGGUUAAGAUUGACACUGCUGCGCCUUCAAAGUCAAAGGCCGCUGCCAAGGAUGUGGGAAAAUCUAAGAAGGAUGAUGACAGCGAUGAUGAUGAUGACAGUGAUGAGGAUGACAGCGAAGAUGACUCUGGUGAUGAUGGAGCAUUGAUUCCCAUGGAGGAUGAUUCUGAUGACAGUGAGGAUGGUGAUGACUCCUCUGAUGAUAGCGAGGAUAGCUCUGAUGAGGAGGAAGAAGAAACACCCAAGAAGCAAGAGACUGGGAAGAAGAGGGUGGCUGGAAGCGUGUUGAAGACCCCUGUUACUGACAAGAAGGCCAAGAUUGCAACACCGUCAGGCCAGAAGACAGGUGACAAGAAGGGAGCUGUCCAUGUGGCGACUCCGCACCCGGCCAAGAAGGCAGGCAAGACCCCAGCAACCAGUGAGAAGUCGCCCAAGUCUGGAGGGUCGGUCGCGUGCAAGUCGUGCAGCAAGACAUUCAACAGUGAGGGCGCUCUAGCUUCGCACUCCAAGGCCAAGCAUGAGGCCAAGUAG